UGGGGAAUUUUGGACAAUGGGCGAAAGCCUGAUCCAGCCAUGCCGCGUGAGUGAAGAAGGCCUUCGGGUUGUAAAGCUCUUUUGGUCGGAAAGAAAAGAUCAUAAUGAACAAUUAUGAUUCAUGACGGUACCGACAGAAAAAGCACCGGCUAACUACGUGCCAGCAGCCGCGGUAAUACGUAGGGUGCGAGCGUUAAUCGGAAUUACUGGGCGUAAAGGGUGCGCAGGCGGUUUUGUAAGUCAGAUGUGAAAUCCCCGGGCUUAACCUGGGAAUUGCGUUUGAAACUGCAAGACUAGAGUGCAGCAGAGGGGAGUGGAAUUCCAUGUGUAGCAGUGAAAUGCGUAGAGAUGUGGAAGAACACCGAUGGCGAAGGCAGCUCCCUGGGUUGACACUGACGCUCAUGCACGAAAGCGUGGGGAGCAAACA
rnacentral:rRNA from 1 species